rnacentral:rRNA from 1 species
UACGAAGGGGGCUAGCGUUGCUCGGAAUCACUGGGCGUAAAGCGCACGUAGGCGGAUUGUUAAGUCGGGGGUGAAAUCCUGGAGCUCAACUCCAGAAUCGCCUUCGAUACUGUAGAGCUUGAGACCGGAAGAGGUAAGUGGAACUGCGAGUGUAGAGGUGAAAUUCGUAGAUAUUCGCAAGAACACCAGUGGCGAAGGCGGCUUACUGGUCCGGUUCUGACGCUGAGACGCGAAAGCGUGGGGAGCGAACAGG